rnacentral:lncRNA from 1 species
ACAUGUAUACAACAACAUAAAGGGGAAAAUGAAGAAAGAAAGACUAAGAAGAGACAGGAAAAAUAAACAGGAAAAAGUGAAUACAAAAUUGCCUAGGAAAAAGUGAAAAAAAGGGGAAAGAGAGGAAAAAUGAAAAAAAUAAAGUAUUAUGAGACAAAAUUGGUUUCCUUUUCUUCUCCCAUUGUCGAUUCCAAUUUCCUCUUCUUUCAUCGCACCAAUGGCAUUACCAACAACCACCUGACCUUAAAUUAUUGAUUAAUUUGUAAAUCCAUCGCCACUCUGUCCAACGAAAUCAAAUUGUGAUUAAAAUUGAGCGCAAAAGUCAAUUAAAUUACGGGAAAAUCAAGAAUAAGCUCCACUCAAUCAUUGAGAUUUAACCCAAAAAGAAGAGCGAAUUGAGCGAAAUGUCACUAGACUAUUUCAAAAUGCCGGUUUUGGUCACUAAACUUUUUUAUUAGCGCGAAAUGUCACUGAACUCGUAAAUCUGUACCGUUUUGGUCACUCAGUGUAUUUGUGCCGUUGGGAGAGACGGAAAUCAACUUUUUGAGGGGCAAAUUCGUCUGCACAGCCUUUUCUUUGAAACUCUCCAACCUAAAUUGUUUUGUAGGAGGGUGGGUUAAUUCAUAAAUCUACAGAUACAAAGAACUCUGGAAAUGGGGGAGGUAAUGGGAUCUUCUUCGAGGUCAUGGAGGGAGGAGUUAGCUAGUUUAGUUGAAGAUACUGGGGUAAGUUUCAAUGGUGAAGUAAUUGGAAUUU